CCUAGGGGAGGCAGCAGUGGGGGAUAUUGGACAAUGGGGGAAACCCUGAUCCAGCGACGCCGCGUGAGUGAAGAAGUAUUUCGGUAUGUAAAGCUCUGUCAGCAGGGAAGAAAGAAAUGACGGUACCUGACCAAGAAGCCCCGGCUAACUACGUGCCAGCAGCCGCGGUAAUACGUAGGGGGCAAGCGUUAUCCGGAAUUACUGGGUGUAAAGGUAGCGUAGACGGUGAUGCAAGUCUGGAGUGAAAGGCGGGGGACCAACCCCCGGACUGCUCUGGAAACUGUGUAACUGGAGUGCAGGAGAGGUAAGCGGAAUUCCUAGUGUAGCGGUGAAAUGCGUAGAUAUUAGGAGGAACACCAGUGGCGAAGGCGGCUUACUGGACUGUAACUGACGUUGAGGCUCGAAAGCGUGGGGAGCAAACAGGAUUAGAUACCCGUGUAGUC
rnacentral:rRNA from 1 species